GUGCAAAGCUGAGGGCAGAUGAAAUGCACGUGGGCGUCGAAGCCUCCAGCAGUAAGAAUCAAACCUUCUCCUGCGAUCACUUCCGUGUUCACGCCCACGAUAAGGUCCGGCGUUACACCGGCCAACACAUCUGGAUUGCCUCCCUUGCCAAUGCUCACAAUCAGGUCGUUCUUGAUACCGACGUCGGCCUUGUAAAUACCCGUGCAGUCCACAAUCAAAGCAUUGGUGAUGAUCGUGUCCACCACUUGAUCGGACGUCUUUCCAGACGCCUGCCCCAUGCCUUCGC
rnacentral:sRNA from 1 species